CUGCAUACUGAUGCUGCACACAGAUUUAUCCUUUUACAGUUUUUUUUAUACAGGGCGUACCAAAAAGUACGACCAACAAAGCGAACGCUCCCACAAUCUCUAUCAAUUAUAUCGUGACCAAAAGAAGUACUACACAAACUCGGCUUUUCCCCGAACAGUACCGCCGGCGUGAAAGAGCACCUAGAGUACCCUGCAAGCAGCAGCAGCAGUACCCGCAGAAGUUGUUCACCUUGACUUCUCUCCACGCCAGGCGCGACUCCAUCAAGUUCUGUUAGAUGCAACGGGUACCAAAGGUACCAACCAAUGCUCUCCGCGACUUGUGUUAUUAUUUCUUCGUUUGGCACAAAACAGUCUAAUUCGAGAGGUGGUACCUCGACGAAGCUACGGUGGUACCUUGGCGAUAAGUCGAAGAAUUGUAAUAGCGACAGUAGUAUUCCUCGAGAGUAUUACGUUUGAUGGCCUAGUGAGUGUGUGUUGGUGUGAGUGACUGUGCGUUUUGUGCCCGCAACAGGAAGUACCUAUAGAUAGACAUAACUGGAAAGAAUAAGAUACUAUUGUUUUCGUCCGGUACUUGAGUAAUUUUUACGAAAAAUGCAAAUCACCGCCACAGCCGACUUCGAUUCAUCCCGGACAACGGACCUCUGGCGAAACAAAAGAACAUGAAUUUUAAUUUAUGAUUGCUCGAGUACGGAGAUAAAUAGACUAAGACCCUAAAAAAUCAAAACUUUCACACAGAAACAGACAACUAGGCUAUUAAGUUUACCUAAGACAAGUAUCAUCGAUGGCUGCGAUGAAUGAACGAAGAAUACGCGAUGUGCGCGACAUCUGGACCAUGAGUUCCAGAGAACCUGAAAAGGAACCGUCAAAAAACAUGCCUACACCUCACGGAAUGGACCCUACGUCAGAGACCAGAACGAGGCACAAAUACAAGACCCUUGAAAGACACUUGAGUAUGAAGAAAACCAUCAGGAAGAAAAUGAUGAGGGAUCUGCGCGAGAUUGGCGAUGGUACUGCGCAGGAUAGCCAACAGCAGCAGCACGCAGCGUUCUUGGAACAGAUCAAAAACGAUCAGCCACCGCCUGAAAGUGUGGAGAAACCAAGUUUGUGGAGAAGACUGACCAAAGGAUGGGGACAUUAGAAGGAAUUCUAUCAUUCAUAGACAUUUUAGUGUUAGGACCUUUAUUUUUUAUGUGAUGUGGUUUAUGUUAUACUCUCUAUAGAUACUACAGCUACAGGAAAAUGUGUAAAAGUUCUUUUAUUAACGCUCUCUAUCCAUCUAAAAUCCAAAUUAUUGUUCAAAAAUUGCUUAGAAAUAGAAAAAAAUGUUUUCAAACCCUUCUUGUGUGAUCUAUAGCAAAAAUUCCAGAAAAUCUGACAAAAAAAGGAACACACUACCAUCAAAAUACUACACAUCAAAAAUCAGAACUACACACAACUACAAAACCCUUGAUAGACAACUUAGAUAUUGAAAACGCUGAAUAGACAAACUUUUUAUUGUCCUUCUCUAUGCUUGGCACUUAGAAAAUCUGCAAAGUGAACCGUAUGAUUCACAGGCUUACGUGAACUUGAAUUUAGACUUCUUGGACAAAGCUGCAACCAGUUUAUUUGUAUAUAAAAAGAACUAUUAGUCACACAGUGAAAUGACAACUUUAGUAUGGUAAAAUUAAUAAUUGAGGAAAUAUUCAGUUAUUUCUUGUUAUACAGAAACAAGAGUUUUGAAAGUCAAUAUUUUUCUUUAAAAAAAAUCAUAUACAGACGUAAAUUUUCUUUUUUGAUAAUAACACAAUAAGUAUAUUAAGAAAUUCUAUUUUUUUAACAGUAAAAACACAACCCAAAUGUUACAUUGCGUUAGAACGUUUCAAAAACGAAGUAAAGAACAAUGAUCGAGAAGCUUUUUCAUUGAUUACACUUUUUUUCUUGAAAGGAGAGUAAAAACCUUGGUCCAUUCCAUUUUCAACUCUUCUAAAACAACAGAUAUAAAUCAGAUAGUAGCUGCGUUAGUCAGUGGCCGAGAAUGAAUUGCUUUUUUUUGAAAAUUAUUCUAUUAAUAUGUUCUUAAUAAAUACCGGGUGUUCAAAAAAUACGUGCUUUAUUUUUUAUAUCAACCAUCAGCUUUGUUUUAUUCAGAGGGUUAAGUUUUCGUUUUUUUGCGAUUAUUUAUAAUUUCCUUUCAAGUUUUUUUAGUGAUUCAAAAUGAAAUUUGAGAGUAAAAAUUAUUAUAAGUGCUACAUAUUGUAAUGGCAAAUCACUGGAUGCGCCACUGAUCUGCAUUUUUUUCUCUUGUCUAGUUUUCUUCUAAAAAAUUGUUUAUUUUAAAAUAUGAUGUCUUCUAACGGACAAACCAAACACUUCUGCAUAGAAGAAAAUAGUAGUGUAUGUCCUCAAAAUAUUGGGACACCCUGUAUAUUACUUAGAAAAUGCCGUUGUAUAUUAAUAAUCGAUUUUCCAUAAUUUUAUAAUAAAUUUUCUUUGUUGAAAUUAUCAUUUAUGGUCGAUAAAUAUUUUCCUUGUUUCUAUAGCAAAGACUAUUCAUUUAUUUUCUCAAUGACACUUUUACCAUUAAGUUAUUUACUGUCAUUUACACUGUGUGACUAAGAAUAUUCAUUUUUAUUUAAAUAAACGGAUUUCAACCUUGUUCAACAAGUCUAAAUUUAAAUUCACCAAGUUUGUGUGAAUCAUCCAUAUUUCGUUUUGAUGUUGAACUAAAAAGAAUCUAUUUUCUAUUAAUUGAAAAUCAAUUUAAAAUAAAAUUCACCCCAGAAAAAUCACAAAUUUGCUACAAAAGUUUGAAUUUUAUUUUCUCUAUGCUGUGUAAUAAUAGUAUUAGAAUUGAAAAUUGUAUAUUAUUUUUAUGUAGUAUUGUAUCGUGAUAUUUUUUUAUAUAUAUAUAAUUGUAAUGUAGGUACGUAGUUUUAUUGUUUAAAAAAGUCUGUAAUGUAUUUUAUAUAAUAGCUUUAUAAUUGUAUGCCUGUUCCUAAUAACUAUUACAUUAUAGUUUUAUUUUUAUUUUGCGAUAUAUUUUUUAUUAUUUAGAAUUUUAAGGAAGUAUUUUGGAGAACCAAAAGCCUAGCAAUAAUAUGUGUUCUAGGAUUGUACUUCUAGUACAUCAUAGUAAUUAUACAGUGUAUAUAAGAAAAUAAAACAAAAUAUAGUAGUACUA